GACGGAAGGUGCAAGCGUUGCUCGGAAUCACUGGGCGUAAAGGGUGCGUAGGCGGCCGCGCAAGUCUGGCGUGAAAGCCCCGGGCUCAGCCCGGGAAGGGCGCUCGAAACGGCGCGGCUCGAGUGCCGGAGGGGAGAGUGGAAUUCCUGGUGUAGCGGUGAAAUGCGUAGAUAUCAGGAGGAAUACCGGUGGCGAAGGCGGCAUCCUGGACCAAUUCUGACGCUGAGUGAGCGAAAGCCAGGGGAGCAAACGGG
rnacentral:rRNA from 1 species